UGCGUAGGUGGUUAGGUAAGACCUGUGGGAAAGACCUGGGCUUAACCCAGGAAGGUCGCAGGUGACUGCCUGGCUAGAGGGCGGGAGAGGAGCGCGGAAUUCCCGGUGUAGCGGUGAAAUGCGUAGAGAUCGGGAGGAAGGCCGGUGGCGAAGGCGGCGCUCUGGAACGUUCCUGACACUGAGGCACGAAAGCGUGGGGAGCAAACAGGAUUAGAUACCCUGGUAGUCCACGCCCUAAACGAUGGGUACUAAGUGUCGGCGGGUUACCGCCGGUGCCGCACCUAACGGAGUAAGUACCCCCGCCUGGGGAGUACGGCCGCAAGGUUGAA
rnacentral:rRNA from 1 species